AAACUCCUGCUUCUCUUCAAAUUGCAUAAAUCUUUCGUCUUUUGCUAAAGAUUUCCGUGGGGAAAAACAAAAUGAGUACAGUUACAAUUUUUAAAUGCCCUCUGAAGCAGGGCU